rnacentral:sRNA from 1 species
UAUUCUGCCCAUGCGGGAAGGAUGAGAAGCUUCGAUUAAGGUUCGAUUCGAGCAUAGCGAGAAAGCGUUGCCGCAGGCAACGACCCGAAGGGCGAAGCGCGCAGCGCUGAGUCAUCUUUUUCCCCCACCACCA